ensembl:lncRNA LINC02298 long intergenic non-protein coding RNA 2298
CCCCAGGUUCCCGGCAGGGCGGGGAAGGCUGGGGCGGGGCCAGAGCCGGAGCCGCGAAGCCGCGAUGGAGAGGGCCUGGAGGGUGCGCCAGGAGCCGGCGUCAGGGCCUGCCUCCAUCUCCUCCAACCCCCACCCCAUUUAUUCCUGUAACAAAUCCCUACCGGGAGCUGGCACAGCAGCUGUGCGCUGGGGACACACGAGAUGCUCACCCUCCCUGCCCUCCAGGAGCUUGGACUCAGCUGAGGUCUGCAGGGGCCAGCAGGAGCAGGGCCGAGGGCCCUGGUGGGAAGGUCGUGGCCCACUAGGGAAGGCUGGGCCCGGGGGGUCAGGUGGAGGGCAGGCUGAGCUGCGAGCUGUGUCUUCAGCCUACAGCAAGGCCACCACUCCCAGCGCCUGGCCUCCUCGCUCCCGAAAGCUCAGCUCAGCCUACAUGUGCCGACCCCUCUGUCCCCCAGGCCCAGGUUGGGCACUGGUCAGGACGGUGCUCCCAGAGGGACCCAGUAACAGGAGGAGCUAGGGUGAGAGCAUGAGGGUGGGGGGAGCGGCAGAGAGGAGGGAGAGGCAGGAGGUGCUCAGGGCAGGAGUGUCUGGAGUGAGGAGGGAGAGGCAGGAGGUGCUCAGGGCAGGAGUGUCUCGAGUGGGUCUGGACAGGAACAGGAAGGGCAUUCCAGGCAGAGGGGCCCAAAGAAGCAAAGGUGCACCAGGGAGAAAUGCCCGCUGUGCUCCACCACAGUGGAGGUGCAAACCUCAGCAUGGAAGAUGAGGCUGGAGGGAGGGGCCUGGGCUGGAACAUGGCCAGGAUGGCAGUGGGGAGCCAUUGGAGAUGUUUGAGCCGGGGAGUGACAGGGUCAGAUUCGAGUUUUGGAAAGAUAACAUCUUGAGCCAUUAAACAGAUUUCUAGGAUUUCAGGUUUAUUUAUUUAUUUAUUUAGAGACUCACUUCACUCUGUUACCCAGGCUGUAGUGCAGUGGUGCGAUCUCUGCUCACUGCAAUCACUCAAGGCCAAGUGAUUCUCAUGCCUCAGCCUCCUGAGUAGCUGGGACUACAGGCGUGCACCACCAUGCCCAGCUAAUUUUUGUAUUUUUAGUAGAGGCGGGGUUUCGCCAUGUUGGCCAGGCUGGUCUCGAAUUCCUGGCUGGGAUUACAGGCGUGAGCCACCACGCCCUGCUGGAUUUUGGAUUCUUGAUACGUAUCAUCAACCACUCUCCAGAGUUUGGCCAGCUUCACGCUCCAUCAGUGGUCUCACCAUAGACCUUCUAAUCUUGAUUGUGUUGGCUGGUGUCUAUUUUCUAAUGGUGUUUGGUUUUGGAACCUGCAUUUCUUUGAAAAAGAGUGAGCAUGUGCAUUUUCCCAGAUGCCUGGUAUCCAACUGCACUUCUCCAUGUGUGCAUUGUCCCCUGAGCUGGCAAGAAGAUCCUACUAGUUGGUCUGCAUGCCAUGCCAGCUCGGCCUUGCACCCUGGGGGCCCAGCUGUUGUCCACACCAAGGGUGGCCUACAGAGGGAAGUGAGGACCUUGGGACUUCCUCCAGGACAGCCCUCGCUGUCCAAAUCUCCACCUGCUGCAGAGCUGCCUCCAGUCAAGCCCUUGUUUCCAGCUUUCUGUGCCCUAAAUAAACUUCUGCUGGGAUUGAGCCAUCAGCAUUCUGUGGUGGGCGUCGCUGCUGCGAGGUUGCCCUCGUGCACACAAGCUCCUCACAGGACUUCCAGGAUGAUAUGGAAGAGUGACUGAGAGCAGCCGCCCGGUGCUUCCCAACCUUAGAGGGAGGUCACGGGCAGUCUCCCUGCGAUGCUGGCCACAGGGUCUCGCUGUGUCGCCCAGGCUGGAGGGCAGUGGUGUGAUCUGGACUCACUGCAGCCUCGACCUGUUGGGCUCAAGUGAUCCUCUCACGUCAGCCUCCAAGUAGCCAAGACCACAGGCAGGCGUCACCAUGCCCAGCCCCCAUGAUGACUUUACUUUUCUUCUUGAACCUGCUGUCUAUGAGCUUCAUCAAAUGGGCAGGACCACUUUCCCUUAACUUCUCCUUUUCUGGAACAACGGACAUAUCCUGUGGAUUAUCUGUUCCCCACAGGUUUGGGAUAUGGGUGCUGUGAAUGCCACUGUGCUGGGGGCUUUGGGAAGUGUGUGUUUGUUUUCGUGCGUGUGCGGUGGGAUACAGGUGUGGUUACUACUUUGAUUUCUUUCUUUCUUUUUUUUUUUUUUUUUUUUGAGAUGGAGUCUCACUCUGUUGCCCAGGCUGAAGUGCAAUGGCGCGAUCAUGACUCACUGCAACCUCCGCCUCCUGGGUUCAAGCGACUCUCCUGCCUCAGCCUCCAGAGUUGCUGGGAUUACAGGCACCCACAACCAUACCCUAAAUUUUGUACUUUUAGUAAAGAUGGGGUUUCACCAUUUGGCCAGGCUUGUCUUGAACUCCCAAUUACCAAUUUCUUAUGUGUCCUUUUGAAGACUUUCUAAGUACGACCAACCUAGUAAAGUGAGUCACCCACCACUGUUUUGUUUGUUUUUGUUUGUUUGUUUGUUUUUUAGAAUGGGGUUUCACCUUGUUGCCCAGGCUAGUCUUGAACUCUUGGGCUCCAGCAAUCUACCCUCCUCAGCUUCCCAAAGUGCUGGGAUUAUAGGCAUGAGCCACCAUGCCUGGCCCCACCACUCAUUCUUAACCUCUUCUUCUUUGCCUUUCUCUGUUGCAGAGUCCUGGAAGUUAAAUGCUCUAUUUCCCAGCCUCCCUUGCAGCUAGGAGCAGUCAUGUGACUCCAUUCUGGCCAACGAGAUACAAGAAACACUUGCUGACAGGUGCAAUCAGAAAGCGUUUGCUUUUCCAGUAACAUGUAGGACCAGUCACCUUUUUGCAUUUCCCCUUUCUUCUUGAUUCGAACAUUGCAUUGCCGUCAUGUUUGGAGAUGAGUCAGCCAUCUUGCAAAUAGGAGGCAGCAAGACUGAGGGAAAUGCCAUCCUGCUUCAGAGGGCAGAAUGGAAAGAGAAGCCUAAGAUGGCAAUGGUACGGUUGGGCAGCUGAGUCAGGACUGGGGCCACUGCCUCUCGGUUUCAAGGGAGAAAAAUAAAC